rnacentral:rRNA from 1 species
CCUACGGGAGGUAGCAGUCGAGAAUCAUUCACAAUGGGGGAAACCCUGAUGCUGCGACGCCGCGUGGGGGAAUGAAGGUCUUCGGAUUGUAAACCCCUGUCAUGUGGGAGCAAAUUAAAAAGAUAGUACCACAAGAGGAAGAGACGGCUAACUCUGUGCCAGCAGCCGCGGUAAUACAGAGGGCUCAAGCGUUGUUCGGAAUCACUGGGCGUAAAGCGUGCGUAGGCUGUUUCGUAAGUCGUGUGUGAAAGGCGCGGGCUCAACCCGCGGACGGCACAUGAUACUGCGAGACUAGAGUAAGGGAGGGGGAACCGGAAUUCUCGGUGUAGCAGUGAAAUGCGUAGAUAUCGAGAGGAACACUCGUGGCGAAGGCGGGUUCCUGGACAUUAACUGACGCUGAGGCACGAAGGCCAGGGGAGCGAAAGGGAUUAGAUACCCCAGUAGUC